UAAGCAUAUCAGUAAGCGGAGGAAAGGAAACUAACCAGGAUUCCCCCAGACCUGGGACUGUGUGCCUACCAUAAGUCCAGCUCUGAUUCUGGCUUAUUGUGGUCCGGAGCGGGUGAAAGACCCGUAAUGGUAGGCGUGUUGUUUAACACAGUCCUCAGAUGUGCAGGCCUUCGAGUCGGAUUGCUUGAGAAUGCAGUCCAAAGUGGGUGGUAAACUCCAUCCAAGGCUAAAUACCUGCAUGAGUCCGAUAGUAAACAAGUACCGUGAGGGAAAGUUGAAAAGUACUCUGAAGAGAGAGUAAAUAGUACGUGAAGCCGAUUGCAGGGAAGCUGGUGGAGUCAAGCUUCAUGCCUGAGGGAUUUUCGUUUGGAGCAUUGUGUAUGAGGUACAUGUGGUCCAGUCAACUUGGAAUAAGUUGGGCACAUUCGUGUGUUUCAAGUCAUUCCGGGGUGUUUGUUUGAAACUGGUCAUAUUGUGCUGCUCUCGACGAUCUAUCCCUCGCGGCAUAAAUCACAGUUGAUAUGGGAGUGCCGUGUACCAGUCUAACUGCAUUAUGGCAGGCCUAGUGUUUGCCAAGUGUAGAAGGGCAGGUACGACCGUUGAUCUUCGGAUUGAUGUGUGUUGACAAAUCGUGCCGAUUUGUAUGUGGUAUCACUCAUAUCAUGAUUGCUUGGUGCUUGGUCUCUGGACCGGGUGCUGGUAAGAACUGUGAUUCUGAGGUAGACG
rnacentral:rRNA from 1 species